CUACGUGCCAGCAGCCGCGGUAAUACGUAGGGUGCGAGCGUUAAUCGGAAUUACUGGGCGUAAAGCGAGCGCAGACGGUUACUUAAGCAGGAUGUGAAAUCCCCGGGCUCAACCUGGGAACUGCGUUCUGAACUGGGUAGCUAGAGUAUGUCAGAGGGGGGUAGAAUUCCACGUGUAGCAGUGAAAUGCGUAGAGAUGUGGAGGAAUACCGAUGGCGAAGGCAGCCCCCUGGGAUAAUACUGACGUUCAUGCUCGAAAGCGUGGGUAGCAAACAGGAUUAGAUACCCUGGUAGUCCACGCCCUAAACGAUGUCGAUUAGCUGUUGGGCAACUUGAUUGCUUAGUAGCGUAGCUAACGCGUGAAAUCGACCGCCUGGGGAGUACGGUCGCAAGAUUAAAACUCAAAGGAAUUGACGGGGACCCGCACAAGCGGUGGAUGAUGUGGAUUAAUUCGAUGCAACGCGUAGAACCUUACCKGUCUUGACAU
rnacentral:rRNA from 1 species